GAAUAUUGCACAAUGGAGGAAACUCUGAUGCAGUGACACCGCGUAUAGGAAGAAGGUUUUCGGAUUGUAAACUAUUUUAGAUAGGGAAGAAAAAAGACAGUACCUGUAGAAUAAGCCCCGGCUAACUACGUGCCAGCAGCCGCGGUAAUACGUAGGGAGCAAGCGUUAUCCGGAAUUAUUGGGUGUAAAGGGUGCGUAGACGGGAUAACAAGUUGGUUGUGAAACCCCUCGGCUCAACUGAGGAACUGCAACCAAAACUAUUAUUCUUGAGUGCAGGAGAGGAAAGUGGAAUUCCUAGUGUAGCGGUGAAAUGCGUAGAUAUUAGGAAGAACACCGGUGGCGAAGGCGACUUUCUGGACUGUAACUGACGUUGAGGCACGAAAGUGUGGGGAGCAAACAG
rnacentral:rRNA from 1 species